UAGUGGCGAACGGGUGAGUAACACGUGGGCAAUCUGCCCUUCACUCUGGGACAAGCCCUGGAAACGGGGUCUAAUACCGGAUAACACUGCGGAUCGCAUGGUCUGUGGUUAAAAGCUCCGGCGGUGAAGGAUGAGCCCGCGGCCUAUCAGCUUGUUGGUGAGGUAGUGGCUCACCAAGGCGACGACGGGUAGCCGGCCUGAGAGGGCGACCGGCCACACUGGGACUGAGACACGGCCCAGACUCCUACGGGAGGCAGCAGUGGGGAAUAUUGCACAAUGGGCGAAAGCCUGAUGCAGCGACGCCGCGUGAGGGAUGACGGCCUUCGGGUUGUAAACCUCUUUCAGCAGGGAAGAAGCGAAAGUGACGGUACCUGCAGAAGAAGCGCCGGCUAACUACGUGCCAGCAGCCGCGGUAAUACGUAGGGCGCAAGCGUUGUCCGGAAUUAUUGGGCGUAAAGAGCUCGUAGGCGGCUUGUCACGUCGAUUGUGAAAGCCCGAGGCUUAACCUCGGGUCUGCAGUCGAUACGGGCUAGCUAGAGUGUGGUAGGGGAGAUCGGAAUUCCU
rnacentral:rRNA from 15 species